CUUAUUGGUACUAUAGUAUUGCCAGUCUAAUCUAUUGGAUGGUCUUAUUGGUACUAUAGUAUUGCCAGUCUAAUCUAUUGGAUGGUCUUAUAGGUACUAUAGUAUUGCCAGUCUAAUCUAUUGGAUGGUCUUAUAGGUACUAUAGUAUUGCCAGCCUAAUCUAUUGGAUGGUCUUAUAGGUACUAUAGUAUUGCCAGUCUAAUCUAUUGGAUGGUCUUAUUGGUACUAUAGUAUUGCCAGUCUAAUCUAUUGGAUGGUCUUAUUGGUACUAUAGUAUUGCCAGUCUAAUCUAUUGGAUGGUCUUAUAGGUACUAUAGUAUUGCCAGUCUAAUCUAUUGGAUGGUCUUAUAGGUACUAUAGUAUUGCCAGUCUGAUCUCGGGAG